AGCGAACGCUGGCGGCAGGCCUAACACAUGCAAGUCGAACGGAUCCUUCGGGAUUAGUGGCGGACGGGUGAGUAACACGUGGGAACGUGCCUUUAGGUUCGGAACAACUCAGGGAAACUUGAGCUAAUACCGGAUGUGCCCUUAGGGGGAAAGAUUUAUCGCCUUUAGAGCGGCCCGCGUCUGAUUAGCUAGUUGGUGAGGUAAAGGCUCACCAAGGCGACGAUCAGUAGCUGGUCUGAGAGGAUGACCAGCCACAUUGGGACUGAGACACGGCCCAAACUCCUACGGGAGGCAGCAGUGGGGAAUCUUGCGCAAUGGGCGAAAGCCUGACGCAGCCAUGCCGCGUGUAUGAUGAAGGUCUUAGGAUUGUAAAAUACUUUCACCGGUGAAGAUGAUGACGGUAACCGGAGAAGAAGCCCCGGCUAACUUCGUGCCAGCCGCCGCAGUAA
rnacentral:rRNA from 1 species